rnacentral:tRNA from 1 species
AGGGCUAUUGUUAAUUAUAACAUUUGGGUUGCAUUCAAAAAGUGCCUCGUGGAUAGCCUUA